rnacentral:rRNA from 1 species
UGGGGAAUUUUGGACAAUGGGCGAAAGCCUGAUCCAGCAAUGCCGCGUGUGUGAAGAAGGCCUUCGGGUUGUAAAGCACUUUUGUCCGGAAAGAAAUCCUUGGCUCUAAUACAGUCGGGGGAUGACGGUACCGAAAGAAUAAGCACCGGCUAACUACGUGCCAGCAGCCGCGGUAAUACGUAGGGUGCAAGCGUUAAUCGGAAUUACUGGGCGUAAAGCGUGCGCAGGCGGUUUGCUAAGACCGAUGUGAAAUCCCCGGGCUCAACCUGGGAACUGCAUUGGUGACUGGCAGGCUAGAGUAUGGCAGAGGGGGGUAGAAUUCCACGUGUAGCAGUGAAAUGCGUAGAGAUGUGGAGGAAUACCGAUGGCGAAGGCAGCCCCCUGGGCCAAUACUGACGCUCAUGCACGAAAGCGUGGGGAGCAAACAGGAUUAGAUACCCUGGUAGUCCACGCCCUAAAACGAUGUCAACUAGUUGUUGGGGACUUCAUUUCCUUAGUAACGUAGCUAACGCGUGAAGUUGACCGCCUGGGGAGUACGGUCGCAAGAUUAAAACUUAAAGGAAUUGACGGGGUCAUAGCUGUUUCCU